UGCCAGACUCCUACGGGAGGCAGCAGUGGGGGAUAUUGCACAAUGGGGGAAACCCUGAUGCAGCGACGCCGCGUGGGCGAAGAAGUAUUUCGGUAUGUAAAGCCCUAUCAGCAGGGAAGAAGAAAUGACGGUACCUGAGUAAGAAGCACCAGCUAAAUACGUGCCAGCAGCCGCGGUAAUACGUAUGGUGCAAGCGUUAUCCGGAUUUACUGGGUGUAAAGGGAGCGCAGGCGGCACGGCAAGCCUGAUGUGAAAGCCCGCGGCCCAACCGCGGGACUGCAUUGGGAACUACCGGGCUGGAGUGCCGGAGAGGUAGGCGGAAUUCCUAGUGUAGCGGUGAAAUGCGUAGAUAUUAGGAGGAACACCAGUGGCGAAGGCGGCCUGCUGGGCUUUUACUGACGCUGAGGCUCGAAAGUGUGGGGAGCAAACAGGAUUAGAUACCCCGGUAU
rnacentral:rRNA from 1 species